UCGGGAAUUUUGGGCAAUGGGCGAAAGCCUGACCCAGCAACGCCGCGUGAAGGAUGAAGUAUUUCGGUAUGUAAACUUCGUAAGAAUAGGAAGAAUAAAUGACGGUACUAUUUAUAAGGUCCGGCUAACUACGUGCCAGCAGCCGCGGUAAUACGUAGGGACCAAGCGUUGUUCGGAUUUACUGGGCGUAAAGGGCGCGUAGGCGGCAAUUCAAGUCAUCUGUGAAAUCUCCGGGCUUAACUCGGAACGGUCAGAUGAUACUGCUUUGCUAGAGUGCAGAAGGGGCAAUCGGAAUUCUUGGUGUAGCGGUGAAAUGCGUAGAUAUCAAGAGGAACACCUGAGGUGAAGACGGGUUGCUGGGCUGACACUGACGCUGAGGCGCGAAAGCCAGGGGAGCAAA
rnacentral:rRNA from 1 species